CACGUAGGGGCCAAGCGUUGUCCGGAUUUAUUGGGCGUAAAGAGCGUGUAGGCGGCCAGAAAAGUCCGCUGUGAAAACUCGAGGCUCAACUUCGAGCUGUCGGUGGAAACUUUCUGGCUAGAGUCCGGAAGAGGAGAAUGGAAUUCCUGGUGUAGCGGUGAAAUGCGCAGAUAUCAGGAAGAACACCCGUGGCGAAGGCGGUUCUCUGGGCCGAUACUGACGCUGAGGAGCGAAAGCGUGGGGAGCGAACAGG
rnacentral:rRNA from 1 species